rnacentral:lncRNA from 1 species
CAAAGCCUGUUGGUUUUUGUUUUGGCCCUCCUGUAAAAUUGGUGAAAUGUCACUUACGCCCCUUCUGGUUCUCACCCCUCGAUUUGGUCAUUUAAGCAACCUAUAAAAAUACAUGGCUUAAGCGUACAAAUAGUUUGGGGCCAUUUAACAAAGGUCCAAAAUAAAAUCUAAAAUGUUCUGCAGGAGAUGCUGAAUUAUAACCCAAAGCCCUUGAUGUGUUUCUGACAGCUGGCCUGUGAAAAGACGGUUUCAGUCAUUUACCAUGUCAUUAAGAGGACCAUUACUUACGCAAAAGAGGUGGCCGGUCCGAAUCGAAGGCCCAGUCCUGCUCAGCUUGAGUUGCGGAUGGUCCAGAGUAAAGCAGACAUUGAGGAUCCUGCCAUAGUUUUGAAUGCUCUAGUUCUGUAGUGCUUUAAUCUCAGACUAUGUACUAGACAGUAUGAAUGGCCUACAUUUAACAGCAAGAGUUUACAAUCACAAUCAUUUGGAUGGUGGACGGCUUAUAUUUUAUGCUGUAGUGUUAUAAAUUAUUUUAUAUCAACACUAAUGUUCUUAGAAUUAAAACGGUGACUUCUGGUACUUCAUAGUGCAUUCGUGCAGGUACUGCAUCCAAAAACUAACAUGGUACCUAAUGUUAUUAUGUUCACAUUCCUGCCAUAAUGUGCAUAUGACUAUAUCUAGCCAUUAUUAGUAUUUUAUUAAGAUUUAUGCAUGCGUCUAUCUGGAUUAAGUAUUUAUGAGGAUUUAUUAACAUUAAGAAAACGUCAUAUGAGUGUUAUCUAACAUUUGAUUUGAUUCGGUCUGUGUUAUAUGUAACAUAUUAUUCGAUCUGUUAGUCUUAUUUCAUCAGAACAACUGUACAAGCCCAGUCAGGCCAAGUGUAAGAAAAAAUGUCUAUUAAAUAAUAAAAAUCAAUUGUCUAUACUAAGAAUGUGCCUUGAAAAUAUAUAGUUUAUAUCAUACUAAAAAGUCUUUAUCUUUGUAAUAAUUAGCAAUAAUGGCCAUGGCAACUGACAUAUUUUGAC